AAAGUUUUAUUUUAGCUAAAAAUUUAUUAUAUUUUUAUUUUAUAUGUAAAUUAUUGUAUGAAUUUUGUUUUUUCUAAAAGAAAUAAUCAUUUUUAUAUUCGCAGUAUUUAAUUUUAUAAAUAAAAGAAAUUUUGAUUUAGUAAAAAAUUUUAUUAUAGGAUAAUUUUGUGCCAGCAUCUGCGGUUAUACAAAAUAUAAAAAUAAAUUUUAUUAGUUUUUAAUUAAAUGUUUUUAAUUUAAAUUUAUUAUUUAUUUUUUAGGUUAAAUUUUAGUAUAAGUAAAUAUUUUAGAAAAAAAAAGGAAUUGAAGUUAAGAAAUUUAAAUUAUAAACUAGGAUUAGAUACCCUAUUAUUUUAAAUGUAAAUAAAAAAAGCUAAGGUAGUAAUAGAUAUGGUCUUGAAACUUAAAAAAUUUGGCGGUGUUUUAGUCUAUUUAGAGGAAUCUGUUCUGUAAUUGAUAAUCCACGAUAAAUUGUACUAAAUUUUGUGAAAUUUGUAUACCGUCGUUAUAAGAAUAUCUUAAUAGAGAAAAAUUUUCUAAAAUUUUUAUUAAAAUUUAUUUCAGAUCAAGGUGCAGUUAAUAAUUUAGAAGAAAUGGAUUACAAUAAAAAUAUUUAUAUGGAUAAUUUUUUGAAAUAAAAAUUUAAAGGUGGAUUUAAUAGUAAAAUAAAUAAAAUUAUUUAUUUGAUUUUAGCUCUAAAACAUGUACAUAUCGCCCGUCGCUCUCUCUUUUAAAGGGAGAUAAGUCGUAACAUAGUAGAUGUACUGGAAAGUGUAUCUAGAAUGA
rnacentral:ncRNA from 1 species